AGAGAGGGACACCUGUCUCGAACAAGUUUUAUUCUUCUCUGUUUGAUUUUAUAUGGGUCAUCAGGAUUAAAUUAGUUGGGCUUGCCCUUUAGUUAUUUUUGUUGCUAAAAACCGUAGUCCAGCCCGAUUGUCACUAUUAUCUUCUUCACUAAUGGCGUCCAUAAGAAUCUAGGGUUCAUCGAAUGCUUAGAGCUCUGAUUAGUCAAACCGAUAAUGGACGCUCGAUAGGGUUAUUUGAGGCGAAUCUAGGCGACGAAUCAUGGAUCGAGAUGAGUUGGUGUCGUUUCGUCUCUGUUUCUUCUCCCCGGAACCGUUACUGGAUGCAUUGAAUCAUCAUUCUCAGUUAAUGCAUCUCCUCUCUCUUCUAGGCCGUGCAUCUACAUCUAUAAAAAGAAACAUAGAACGAAACGGGAAAAGAGUCGCGUCAUGGGGGUAGAAGAAGGAGGAGGUGUUGCUGGGAAGAUAACGAUUGGAGGCUGCGUCAUGGAAAAGAAGUGAUUGCGGGAAUGGAGAGAUAUGCGUUUAAAGGAGUUCCAUCAAACUAAGUAACAUAUCUAACAAAUGUAGUGAAGAUGAGUAAUUCAUGAGCAGCAAUACAGUAAACACUUGGGCUGGUUUCGUUUCUAUGUUGCCUCUCUUCUCUGCUCUUUUGCUGAUGCGUAUAGUGAUAGAUUCUUCACUAUCCUUGCUUCUUAUAGAUUUGUGUCAGUGUAUGUUGCAAAUUUUUAAGUUAACGUUGAAACUCUCUUAUGUCAAAUUAUGUUUAUCCAAUGAGAUUUGGCUAUUUGGCCAUCUUAUGAUCGA